ACAAUUUUUAGGAGGAUAUCCGAC
rnacentral:sRNA from 1 species